CAGCAGGACCCGGCGGUGACCGGAGGCUCCGAGGGACAGAGGGGCCCCCCCCCACCGAGCGCGGAGCUGGAGGCGCUGCGGGAGCGGAUUGACCGGCUCGAGGAUGAUUACGCCAAUUCCCAGCGGCUCAAUCGCCUCCUGGAGGAGCGGGUGCAGGGGCUGACGCAGGCGCUGGUGCUGGAGCGGACGGUGCUGAGCCAACGGGUGGCUGAGGCUCUGCAGAGGGUGCUGGGCCCCCCCCCCGGUGCUGAGCCCCACAAC